UCCCUAGUGGCUUGAAUGGUAAAGCGUCUGUCUGCAAUGCAGGAGACCGGGUUCGAUCCCUGGGUUGGGAA
rnacentral:tRNA from 1 species